rnacentral:rRNA from 1 species
GACGAACGCUGGCGGCGUGCCUAAUACAUGCAAGUCGAGCGAAGCGGCGGAUGGGUGAGUAACGCGUGGGUACACUUCCCUUAAGUCUGGGAUACCAUUUGGAACCAGAAGCUAAUACCGGAUACUAAAGGAUGAAACUGUGAUGCAUGUGCUCGUUGGUAAGGUAACGGCUUACAAAGGCGAUGAUGCAUAGCCUAGUUUAGAUACUGAUCGUCCACAUUGGGACUGAGACACGGCCCAAACUCCGACGGGAGGCAGCAGUAGUGAAUCUUCCACAAUGGACGAAAGUCUGAUGGAGCAACGCCGCGUGAGUGAAGAAGGUUUUCGGAUCGUAAAGCUCUGUUGUUGGUGAAGCGGUAAUCAACCAGAAAGUCACGGCUAACGACGUGCCAGCAGCCGCGGUAAUAC